rnacentral:rRNA from 1 species
UGGGGAAUAUUGCACAAUGGGGGAAACCCUGAUGCAGCGACGCCGCGUGGAGGAAGAAGGUCUUCGGAUUGUAAACUCCUGUUGUUGGGGAAGAUAAUGACGGUACCCAACAAGGAAGUGACGGCUAACUACGUGCCAGCAGCCGCGGUAAAACGUAGGUCACAAGCGUUGUCCGGAAUUACUGGGUGUAAAGGGAGCGCAGGCGGGAAGACAAGUUGGAAGUGAAAUCUAUGGGCUCAACCCAUAAACUGCUUUCAAAACUGUUUUUCUUGAGUAGUGCAGAGGUAGGCGGAAUUCCCGGUGUAGCGGUGGAAUGCGUAGAUAUCGGGAGGAACACCAGUGGCGAAGGCGGCCUACUGGGCACCAACUGACGCUGAGGCUCGAAAGUGUGGGUAGCAAACAGGAUUAGAUACCCUGGUAGUCCACACCGUAAACGAUGAUUACUAGGUGUUGGAGGAUUGACCCCUUCAGUGCCGCAGUUAACACAAUAAGUAAUCCACCUGGGGAGUACGACCGCAAGGUUGAAACUCAAAGGAAUUGACGGGGGCCCGCACAAGCAGUGGAGUAUGUGGUUUAAUUCGACGCAACGCGAAGAACCUUACCAAGUCUUGACAUCCCUUGACAGACAUAGAAAUAUGUAAUCUCUUCGGAGCAAGGAGACAGGUGGUGCAUGGUUGUCGUCAGCUCGUGUCGUGAGAUGUUGGGUUAAGUCCCGCAACGAGCGCAACCCUUAUGGUCAGUUACUACGCAAGAGGACUCUGGCCAGACUGCCGUUGACAAAACGGAGGAAGGUGGGGAUGACGUCAAAUCAUCAUGCCCUUUAUGACUUGGGCUACACACGUACUACAAUGGCGUUAAACAAAGAGAAGCAAGACCGCGAGGUGGAGCAAAACUCAGAAACAACGUCCCAGUUCGGACUGCAGGCUGCAACUCGCCUGCACGAAGUCGGAAUUGCUAGUAAUCGUGGAUCAGC